rnacentral:snoRNA from 1 species
ACGACCUUACUUGAACAUGAUCUGUUCUAUAGGCUCGUACCGUUGCAUCCUUUACCAAAAAGGAGGCAAGCACUCAAGUCUGGUUGAUGAGACUAUGACCUCUGGGCCAGAGCGUGAUUAACGGCCUGGAUGCUUCGGAUCGGAGCCAUCCGAUGGCUGUAGAGGAUCGUUCCUGCCUGGUUUCACCAUCGGUGCUGGGUGGCUCAGAGGUUGUCUGACAGACC